GGGGAUUUAGCUCAGCGGCAUAAGCACCUGCCUUGCAAGCAGGUGGUUGAGCUCAAUACCUG
rnacentral:tRNA from 1 species